CAUCUCACUCUCAUCUUUCUCGUCGAUCUUCUCAGCCCCAAGGUUCCCUUAACCAAAAAAGUUCUUUAUUUUCUUCACAUUUCCGCCAUUGUCUUUUUUCAUCGUUCCUCAACUUUUGAUUAUUUUGAUUUGUCAAUCAUGCAUUACAUACAUGCUCAUUACAUUGCUCUGCAAAAGAAAUUCACAUAAAGUUAUAUUUCCAUUUGUAAAUCUGAAAAACUAUUGUAGUUUCGCUGCAAAAUCUGAUUAUCAAUCAACAACCAUCUUCCAUAAAUCAACACAUCACAUUACCAUUAGAAGUCAGAAAAAGAAAGUAAUUACCUCAGUUAUGGGUUCCUUCAAAGCCUUCCGAGUGACCCGAAACCUAAUCCCCAACUUCUCAAGCUGUCUCGAUAAAACCCUAACAACCGUAGCGGAGCUCCUCAAAUCCUCCUCCAAUUUCUCAAUCCUCUCAAGCAAAUUCACCUCCAAACCAUCCUUCACCGUUUCCCUACAAACCCGACUCCAUUGGCGCCUCCGAAUCGACGCCCAACUCAAAACCCCAACCACCAACAUCAAAAUCCCCCAUAGAGCAGCUCUGUUGCUAAUUGCCGCCAAGACCUCCUUCUUCCAACACGCAAUCACGGCCACACCAGCCGAAGAAAGCAGGCACGACAAUUCGAGAAAAGAAAGGAGCGAGUCAAAAGCGGAAUCGCCGACGACAUGAUUAGGCACAGCAGCACCUUCGGAACGGAAGCGAAAGGGAACGACGUGGGUUGCGAAGGAGCUGAAUCUGUAGGGUGUGAAUGAUUUGAGGUUGAGAACACAAUCAUUGAUGAGCGUGGUUCAUUUGCUGUGACCAGCCCUUUUCCAGGCCCAUUGGGAGUCUUAUUAAAGUCAAUGAAAAAGUUUAUUCACAUGCUGCAGUUACCAAUACGGGUUGCUUUAUCCGGGGAAGUUCUUCCUCUUAAAGAAGAUAAGCUGGUUGUCUUGUCUCUCUAUAAAAAAGGCAAUUCUAGUUGUGAAGGGUUGUCUCUGCAUUCCUUAUAAGAAGGAAGUAAGCGAGAGAGAUCUAAUGAGAAUUGAGAUCUAUAUAUAAUCUACUCAAAGAAGAAGCGAUCGAUCCUUUUCUCAAAAAAAUUGGGUCAUUCUCAGAAUUCAAAAAAGAAAAGAGAGAAAGAGCUCUAGCUAGAUCACAUAACAUGGGGAGGCCACCUUGCUUUGACAAAAUUUGGAUUAAGAAAGGACCUUGGACUCCAGAGGAAGACAUCACCUUGGUCUCUUACAUUCAAGAACACGGACCAGGGAAUUGGAGAUCAGUUCCCAUCAAUACUGGUUUGAUGAGAUGCAGUAAAAGCUGCAGACUUAGAUGGACUAACUACCUUCGACCAGGUAUCAAACGAGGUAACUUCACUGAUCAUGAAGAGAAGAUGAUAAUCCACCAUUGCAUACAACAAGUAGUUCCCCCUUAAUGGCUAUUAAGUUUCUUUUUCUUUUUUCAUUUUUUAAUCAAAGUGACAAUUUCUUAACAGACUUUAUAUGCAAAACUUGAAUUUCUUUGAAAUUAUUGGGUUCUUAUUUCACUUUAUGGUUUCACUACUUAUAUAGCCUAUUCCUUUUAUUCUGUUAGUCGUUGUUUUGCUCAGUAUCUUAGAGUGAUUCACAUGAAUACAUAAUGUUUAGGCAUGUAUCCAUUUGGACAUUGGCAGGUACACUCUGAACAUAAUGUUUAGGCAUGUAUCCAUGUGUAGUGGAACAAGUAGCCAUUGUUUUAAUUUUUAACAUUAGUUUGAUCUACCUUGUGUCCUUUAUUAUGCUCAUACAGGUACAUUCAAAAUGCAUAAAUAUUUUAGUAAAUCAAGUAAAUAACUCUUAUAAGAAGCUAUUUUGUUCUAUUAACCUAUUUUGUUGAGCGGUAAUAUAAAAAAAUAGGCUUUAAUAUAAAUAAAUAUAAAUUACAAAUCUCUGGUAUUCUCUCUCUUCUUUUUACUUUAAUCCAUUAACCUAUUUUGUUCUAAAAAUAUAAACAUGACCUUCUAGAAAUAUAUAUAUAUAUAUGUUCAGAAUUUUUUUUAUGGUAUUAAGGAAAUUGAAGUUAAAGUAGAUGGGAAUGGUUAAAGACCAAGAUAGUUGGUUGUUUGUCAUUUAGUUAAUGAAUUGUUGACAUUUCUAUGACAUAUACGAUGCAAGUUACCUUGGUCUCUUGUGUGUGCAGUUUUUUUGUAUUAAAUGGAGAAAGAUAAUUGGUUGUUGAAUUGCUAAAGUCAAGAUAAAGUAGUAAAGCUACCACCUAAGCUUUUGUUGUCUUAAACUAUUGAAUGAAUGAAUUUUAAUUCCUUUUAGCUACAUGUCCAGCCGUAUGGUUGAUGGAGGAGUGACUAGGCUAAGAACCUAUAAUAUACCAUUAAGAGAUUUAAACGUCAAAUAAAGUAGACUACUUAAGUAACUAGUCAAAGCUUCCAAUUUAAGUCUCAAAAGAGAGAUAUUUUUGCCUAUAGAAGUCGGUUAUGUUAAGGUAGCAACGCACUACUUUCCAAGGUAGCAAAAUCCAUCUCCAAUUGUUUCUAAUGUAUCAAGAUUGGAGUCUUUUGACUCUGCACAUGAAAAGGAGCUAACUGUGGAUGACAUUGAAGACUUUGACGAUGAUACUGCUGCUGCAAUGGUCGAAAGUUUCAGGGCUAAAAGGACUCUAAAUGAUGCUUCUGAUCUUGCAGUGAAAUUGCCUUCUUUUUCCACAGGUGAUUAUUCUAGAAAACUUAUCUUCUGGAUAAGUUCUUUGCAUCCCCACAAAUCUUAUGCAGUCUAAAUAUUAUCAGAUGAAUAGUAUUUUGACUUGAAAUGUGUGGAAUAGUCAUGGAAAUGGGGAGACAUAUGCAUAAGAAACUUGAAUGAACGCAAUUGUGGUAAGGUAACCUCUUGUAUAUGAUGUCACUAUUUGCUGAUUGCUGAGUCACAGAAGUCAUUGCUAAGGUGGAAACCUGUAUCAUUAAGGGGCAUAGCAUUUCUAUGAUUGCCCUUGUGCCUUUGUAUGGGUAAAGGACAUGUCUUAACCAGAAAUUUCUCCCAUCUCAUCUUUUGUGGGACAGAGUAGUUUUCUUGGCUUCUAUGUGGUGUUUGCCCAUGGUUGUUUUAUGGGGUGUUUCUAUAAUGGAUAUCCACAGAGAUUGGAGAUCUCUUUUGCUAUGAUGGUUUUAUUUAUUUUUUGUAGCUCUAAUAGGAUUACUUAUCCUACUUCUUUGUAGUUCUAAUCUUUCACAGUUUUACAUAAUGAUUUCUUCUUUUAUAGAAAAAUAAUAAGAUAUAACUUUUGGAUGAUUUAUGCAUCAAAUUUGUAUUGAAAGGUUUAAACUGAAGCUUUCAUGAACCUUCCUAAUUUGUGGUUUUACUUGAAGGCGUCACAGAUAAUGAUCUCCGUGAAACUGCAUAUGAGAUCCUCUUGGCUUGUGCUGGAGCCACAGGGUAUGCUAUCAUGAUGUGUUUAAUUUUAGGGGAUCUCUUUUCCUUGUAAAAGAUUUAUAAGUGGAUUCUUUUUAAAUGUGAAAUCUUUGAUCUGUUUCUUGUUUAAGAGGGGUCUAAUUAUCCCAUCUAAAGAAAAAAAGAAAGAUAAAAAAUCCAGCUUGCUUAAGAAGCUUGGGCGCAGCAAAAUUGGAAGUGUUGUAUCCCAGUCUCAGAAUGCUCCUGGAUUAGUUGGCUUGUUGGAAACCAUGCGUGUGCAAAUGGAGGUAUACAAGGGGCUCAGGUUCCAUUUACUUAUGCUUUGAUUCUUUGGUCCUUUCCCUGAUCUUUUCCGCCGUUAUGUUUUUAUUUUUGCAAUGUAGCUUGGUAUACUAUUCUAAUGUGCAAGGACCAUUGUUUUCUCUAUAUGAAUAUUAUAUUAGUAAAAUAAUUAUAAUACUGUGGCUUCCCCUUUCCUGACGGAGGUGGUUCAGAAGCUGGGUUGGUAUUUUUUAAGAUGGACUCUGGAGCCUUGUCUGUUAUUGUUAUAAUAAAUUAAGUAGCUAGUUUAUUUAAUAUUAUCAUGUAUUUGGAUCAAUUAAGUUUUAAUGGUGAGACAUUUUACAUUU